AGAGUUUGAUCCCUGGCUCAGGAUGAACGCUAGCGGCAGGCUUAAUACAUGCAAGUCGUGGGGCAGCAGGGGUAGCAAUACCCGCUGGCGACCGGCAAACGGGUGAGGAACAUGUACACAACCUACCUUUAACUGGAGGAUAGCCCCUCGAAAGAGGGAUUAAUACUCCGUAACAUGAUGAAGCGGCAUCGCUUUAUUAUUAUAGCUCCGGCGGUUAAAGAUGGGCGUGCAACUGAUUAGGCAGUUGGCGGGGUAACGGCCCACCAAACCUACGAUCAGUAACUGGUGUGAGAGCACGACCAGUCACACGGGCACUGAGACACGGGCCCGACUCCUACGGGAGGCAGCAGUAAGGAAUAUUGGUCAAUGGAGGCAACUCUGAACCAGCCAUGCCGCGUGAAGGAUUAAGGCCCUCUGGGUUGUAAACUUCUUUUAUAUGGGAAGAAAUGUUCUGAUUCUUCAGAGCUUGACGGUACCAUAGGAAUAAGCACCGGCUAACUUCGUGCCAGCAGCCGCGGUAAUACGAAGGGUGCAAGCGUUACUCGGAAUUACUGGGCGUAAAGCGUGCGUAGGUGGUUUGUUAAGUCUGAUGUGAAAGCCCUGGGCUCAACCUGGGAAUGGCAUUGGAUACUGGCAGGCUAGAGUGCGGUAGAGGGCAGUGGAAUUCCCGGUGUAGCAGUGAAAUGCGUAGAGAUCGGGAGGAACAUCUGUGGCGAAGGCGACUGCCUGGACCAGCACUGACACUGAGGCACGAAAGCGUGGGGAGCAAACAGGAUUAGAUACCCUGGUAGUCCACGCCCUAAACGAUGCGAACUGGAUGUUGGGUUCAACUUGGAACUCAGUAUCGAAGCUAACGCGUUAAGUUCGCCGCCUGGGGAGUACGGCCGCAAGGCUGAAACUCAAAGGAAUUGACGGGGGCCCGCACAAGCGGUGGAGUAUGUGGUUUAAUUCGAUGCAACGCGAAGAACCUUACCUGGCCUUGACAUGUAUGGAAUCCCGAAGAGAUUUGGGAGUGCUCGAAAGAGAGCCAUAACACAGGUGCUGCAUGGCUGUCGUCAGCUCGUGUCGUGAGAUGUUGGGUUAAGUCCCGCAACGAGCGCAACCCUUGCCAUUAGUUGCUACGAAAGGGCACUCUAAUGGGACUGCCGGUGACAAACCGGAGGAAGGUGGGGAUGACGUCAAGUCCUCAUGGCCCUUAUAGGUGGGGCUACACACGUCAUACAAUGGCUGGUACAGAGGGUUGCCAACCCGCGAGGGGGAGCCAAUCCCACAAAGCCAGUCGUAGUCCGGAUCGCAGUCUGCAACUCGACUGCGUGAAGUCGGAAUCGCUAGUAAUCGCGGAUCAGAAUGUCGCGGUGAAUACGUUCCCGGGUCUUGUACACACCGCCCGUCAAGCCAUGGAAGCCUGGGGGACCUGAAGCCGGUAACCGCAAGGAGCCGUCUAGGGUAAAACAGGUAACUGGGGCUAAGUCGUAACAAGGUAACC
rnacentral:rRNA from 1 species